UGUUCCUCUGCGAGCUCACAUCUUCUCUCUGCUCACCUCUCACUGACAAUUUUCUCAUGCUCCCUUGAAGCAGACCCAGAGGUUUUGUUGUUAGAGGCUCUUUGGGCUGUGCCUUAUGUGUCACUGAAUGGAGGAGAAUGCCCUGCACAGAGAGGCUGCUUCAGUGGAUAAUGGGAAAAUCAGUGUCUGGUCUUGCUGUCAACAGGCUGUAGCUUGGAGAGAAAUCUUCACUAAUCAGCUUGCUUUGUAGCGUUUUUACAGCAAAAUAAAAGAUGUCUGGAUUUA